rnacentral:rRNA from 1 species
CGGCAACAGCUCAAAUUUGAAAUCUGGCCUCUCGGGGUCCGAGUUGUAAUUUGUAGAGGAUGUUUUGGGUACCGCCCCGGUCUAAAUUUCUUGGAACACGACGUCAUAGAGGGUGAGAAUCCCGUAUGUGACUGGGUGCUUUUGCCUAUGUAAAGCUCUUUCGAC